AAGCGUGACAGGUUAUCCCGAGUGAUUCCGGCUAAAGGGAUCUUUUGCCAGGCGUAAUACCACUAGUGAAUAAGGGGUGGGCAAGUUCUGGUGUCAGCAGCCGCGUUAA
rnacentral:rRNA from 1 species